GACGAACGCUGGCGGCGCGCUUAACACAUGCAAGUCGAGCGAGAACCAGUCCUUCGGGACUGGGGAAAGCGGCGAACGGGUGAGUAACACGUGGGUAAUCUGCCCUCGGCACCGGAAUAGCCCGGGGAAACCCGGAUUAAUGCCGGAUGGCCUCUAUGCCCCUCGGGGCGGUGAGAAAAGGUAGCUUCGGCCUCCGGCCGAGGAUGAGCCCGCGGCCGAUUAGCUUGUUGGUGAGGUAACGGCUCACCAAGGCGACUAUCGGUAGCUGGGCUGAGAGGACGAUCAGCCACACUGGGACGGAGACACGGCCCAGACUCCUACGGGAGGCAGCAGUGGGGAAUCUUGCGCAAUGGGCGAAAGCCUGACGCAGCGACGCCGCGUGCGGGAAGAAGGCCUUCGGGUUGUAAACCGCUUUCAGGAGGGACGAAGCCACUCGGGUGAAUAGCCUAGAGGGUGACGGUACCUCCAGAAGAAGCCCCGGCUAACUACGUGCCAGCCGCCGCAGUAAUAC
rnacentral:rRNA from 1 species